GAUGAACGCUGGCGGCGUGCCUAAUACAUGCAAGUCGAGCGAACAGACGAGGAGCUUGCUCCUCUGACGUUAGCGGCGGACGGGUGAGUAACACGUGGAUAACCUACCUAUAAGACUGGGAUAACUUCGGGAAACCGGAGCUAAUACCGGAUAAUAUAUUGAACCGCAUGGUUCAAUAGUGAAAGACGGUUUUGCUGUCACUUAUAGAUGGAUCCGCGCCGCAUUAGCUAGUUGGUAAGGUAACGGCUUACCAAGGCGACGAUGCGUAGCCGACCUGAGAGGGUGAUCGGCCAGACUGGAUCUGAGACAGGGUCCAGACUCCGACGGGAGGCAGCAGUAGGGAAUCUUCCGCAAUGGACGAAAGCCGGACGGAGCAACGCCGCGUGAGUGAUGAAGGUCUUCGGAUCGUAAAACUCUGUUAUUAGGGAAGAACAAAUGUGUAAGUAACUAUGCACGUCUUGACGGUACCUAAUCAGAAAGCCACGGCUAACUACGUG
rnacentral:rRNA from 1 species